CAGACCUGCAACACCGGCAUGCCGUAGAUCGGCGACUUCGGAUCUUCUUCCGCCGCCGGGUUGGUCACGUCGUUGGCGCCGAUCACGAAGGCGACGUCGGCCUCCGCGAAUUCCGAUUUGAUAUCCUCGAACUCNNNNNUCGUCGUAAGGCACGUUCGCUUCGGCGAGCAGCACGUUCAUGUGGCCAGGCAUACGGCCCG
rnacentral:misc_RNA from 1 species